AUUGAACGCUGGCGGCAGGCUUAACACAUGCAAGUCGAGCGGAGAUGAGGUGCUUGCACCUUAUCUUAGCGGCGGACGGGUGAGUAAUGCUUAGGAAUCUGCCUAUUAGUGGGGGACAACAUUCCGAAAGGAAUGCUAAUACCGCAUACGCCCUACGGGGGAAAGCAGGGGAUCUUCGGACCUUGCGCUAAUAGAUGAGCCUAAGUCGGAUUAGCUAGUUGGUGGGGUAAAGGACUACCAAGGCGACGAUCUGUAGCGGGUCUGAGAGGAUGAGCCGCCACACGGGGACUGAGACACAGACCAGACUCCUACGGGAGGCAGCAGUGGGGAAUAUUGGACAAUGGGCGGAAGCCUGAUCCAGCCAUGCCGCGUUUGUGAAGAAGGCCUUUUGGUUGUAAAGCACUUUAAGCGAGGAGGAGGCUACCUGGAUUAAUACUCUAGGAUAGUGGACGUUACUCGCAGAAUAAGCACCGGCUAACUCUGUGCCAGCAGCCGCAGUAACAC
rnacentral:rRNA from 1 species